rnacentral:rRNA from 1 species
GGGAAUCUACCCUGAACUGCGGGAUAGCUCCGGGAAACUGGAAUUAAUACCGCAUGUGCCCUGAGGGGCAAAGAUUUAUCGGUUCAGGAUGAGCCCGCGUCCGAUUAGCUAGUUGGUGGGGUAAAGGCCUACCAAGGCGACGAUCAGUAGCUGGUCUAAGAGGAUGAUCAGCCACAUUGGGACUGAGACACGGCCCAAACUCCUACGGGAGGCAGCAGUGGGGAAUAUUGGACAAUGGGCGCAAGCCUGAUCCAGCCAUGCCGCGUGAGUGAUGAAGGCCCUAGGGUUGUAAAGCUCUUUCACCGGGGACGGUAAUGACGGUACCCGGAGAAGAAGCCCCGGCUAACUUCGUGCCAGCAGCCGCGGUAAUACGAAGGGGGCUAGCGUUGUUCGGAAUUACUGGGCGUAAAGCGCACGUAGGCGGACAUUUAAGUCAGGGGUGAAAUCCCGGGGCUCAACCCCGGAACGGCCUUUGAUACUGGGUGUCUUGAGUUCGGAAGAGGUGAGUGGAAUUGCGAGU